rnacentral:rRNA from 1 species
CCUACGGGUGGCUGCAGUGGGGAAUAUUGGACAAUGGGGGCAACCCUGAUCCAGCCAUGCCGCGUGUGUGAAGAAGGCCCUCGGGUUGUAAAGCACUUUCAGUGAGGAAGAACGCCUGGUGGUUAAUACCCAUCAGGAAAGACAUCACUCACAGAAGAAGCACCGGCUAACUCCGUGCCAGCAGCCGCGGUAAUACGGAGGGUGCGAGCGUUAAUCGGAAUUACUGGGCGUAAAGCGCGCGUAGGUGGCUUGAUAAGCCGGUUGUGAAAGCCCCGGGCUCAAACUGGGAACGGCAUCCGGAACUGUCAAGCUAGAGCGCAGGAGAGGAAGGUAGAAUUCCCGGUGUAGCGGUGAAAUGCGUAGAGAUCGGGAGGAAUACCAGUGGCGAAGGCGGCCUUCUGGACUGACACUGACACUGAGGUGCGAAAGCGUGGGUAGCAAACAGGAUUAGAUACCCGAGUAGUC